GAUGAACGCUGGCGGCGUGCUUAACACAUGCAAGUCGAACGAGAAGUGGAGACGGAAACCUUCGGGCGGAAGACUUUAUUUCGAGUGGCGGACGGGUGAGUAACGCGUGGGUAACCUGCCUCAUACAGGGGGAUAACAGUUGGAAACGACUGUUAAUACCGCUUAAGACCACAGCACCGCAUGGUGCGGGGGUAAAAACUCCGGUGGUAUGAGAUGGACCCGCGUUCGAUUAGCCAGUUGGCGGGGUAACGGCCCACCAAAGCGACGAUCGAUAGCCGAUCUGAGAGGAUGACCGGCCACAUUGGGACUGAGACACGGCCCAAACUCCUACGGGAGGCAGCAGUGGGGAAUAUUGCACAAUGGGGGAAACCCUGAUGCAGCGACGCCGCGUGAGUGAAGAAGUAUUUCGGUAUGUAAAGCUCUAUCAGCAGGGAAGAAAAUGACGGUACCUGAGUAAGAAGCCCCGGCUAACUACGUG
rnacentral:rRNA from 1 species